GCGCCUGUAGCUCAAUUGGAUAGAGCAUUUGACUUCGGAUCAAAAGGUUGCAGGUUCGACUCCUGUCAGGCGCUCCA
rnacentral:tRNA from 1 species